GGCGCCGCGGCGCUGCCGUCGGGGCGGUGCCGUCGGGGCGCUCACUGCGUGCCGGCGGCCGCGGCGCAGGACAGGGCCCAGCCGGGCAGGCAGUAGUAGGGGUAGUAGUAGGAGGGCUGCAGGGCGAGCAGCGAGGGCGGCCGCAGCACCUCGCCGGGCUGGUACUGUCUCUGGUCGUCGCGCACCAGCACCUUGACGGCCACCUUCUUGGCGGCGGGGGCGGCGGCCAGCAGGUCGGCUGCCAUCUGCCGCCGCUUGGUUUUGUAGCGGCGGUUCUGGAACCAGAUCUUCACCUGCGUCUCGGUCAGCUUGAGGGAGGCGGCCAGGUCGGCGCGCUCCGGCCCCGACAGGUAGCGCUGGUGGUUGAAGCGCCGCUCCAGCUCGAACACCUGCGCGUGGGAGAAGGCGGCGCGGGAGCGCUUCUUGCGCGGCUUCGGCGCCGCCGCCUCCUCCUCGGCCGCCAGCAGCCUCCCGCCCGCCGCCUCCUCCUCCUCGGCCGGGCCGCGACCUGAGGCGGCGGCCGACGCUUCGCUGUCGCUGCGCGCUCCGUCCCGGUCCCGGUCCCGCUCCGCCGCCGCCUCCGAGGACCGCGCCUCCGCCGCCGGCCGCCCCUGCCCGCCGCCUCGGGGGGGCGGGCGCUGCCCCCGGCGCUCUCCUCCUCGGAGCGCCGCUCGCUCUCGGGCUCCUCGCUCAGCGCCGAGUCCGAGUCCCAGGCGGGCGGCGGGCGCGGGGCGGGCGGCGGCGGGGCCUCGGCGCGGGCAGCGCACAGCCGCCAGCCGCGGGCGCGCUCCUCC
rnacentral:lncRNA from 1 species